rnacentral:other from 1 species
UCAUCCCUGCCGUGUUUGUCGGAGUUAAAUGUGUGUUGAGCCAUUACCAACACAUCGGGAGUCAGAUUUCUACUUCAUCUGCGGAUGAAUAGAUAGACACCCACUUUUAACAGAUGGUUCUUUCCACUGGCUCCGACGGCAUGUUGCGGGGAUUUU